AUUGAACGCUGGCGGCAGGCCUAAGACAUGCAAGUCGAGCGGAUGAAGGGAGCUUGCUCCUGGAUUCAGCGGCGGACGGGUGAGUAAUGCCUAGGAAUCUGCCUGGUAGUGGGGGAUAACGUCCGGAAACGGGCGCUAAUACCGCAUACGUCCUGAGGGAGAAAGUGGGGGAUCUUCGGACCUCACGCUAUCAGAUGAGCCUAGGUCGGAUUAGCUAGUUGGUGGGGUAAAGGCCUACCAAGGCGACGAUCCGUAACUGGUCUGAGAGGAUGAUCAGUCACACUGGAACUGAGACACGGUCCAGACUCCUACGGGAGGCAGCAGUGGGGAAUAUUGGACAAAGGGCGAAAGCCUGAUCCAGCCAUGCCGCGUGUGUGAAGAAGGUCUUCGGAUUGUAAAGCACUUUAAGUUGGGAGGAAGGGCAGUAAGUUAAUACCUUGCUGUUUUGACGUUACCAACAGAAUAAGCACCGGCUAACUUCGUG
rnacentral:rRNA from 1 species